CCCCGACUUUUUCUACCUUUUUAUUUGUUCUUGAAAGGACAUCGUUGGUGCAUCCAAAAAAUUUUUCGGCAAUUGUUUCUUUUAUCGAGAGAAUGAUUUUACUUUUUGGUCUAUAAUAAUUAUUCUUUUUCUACCCCAAUUUAUUUAAAUUUCCAAGCCCAAUUCUUUUAAUUUGAAAUUACACUUUGAAGCCCAAUUAGAGAUUAACGAUUUCUAUACAUGUAACUCUCCCUCAAUCCCACAAUUCCUUCCACAUUCAUUCAAUUUCAGAGAAAAAAAAAACCCUUGCUUUCCCAUGAUCUGUAGUUACAACUCUACAUCUCCUGCACGAUCAGAAUUCCAAAUUAUACCACGUUGCAAACUGCAGAUUUACAUCCCAUUAUAUACUCCUUGAUCUUCUUAGUUCAAUCAAUCCCAGAGAGCCGAUAGAGUGAGAAAAAGGGGGAAGCGGCGCGACGGUGGUACCGUGUUGAGAAGAAGGCUGCACAAGCUCCAACGACGGGGCUGGACGGCGAUGACUCCUACUCCUAUCAGCAGCAACGCGCUGAUGAGGAGGCAGCGGCGUCGCGGCGAGGGGCUGGCGGAUCAAAGAGAGAGAGAGAGAACGACGACGAACAGCGGCAGCUCCUGCUGCGUCGCGGCAUUGGCGCCGGUGGGGCUGUGUUUUGCCGGCAACAACGGCGAGUCCUUUGACGGAUACGAUGGUGCGGCAGAGCGAUUAACGGCGACGGCUCUGUGUGGGCAGCAGCGGCACUGUGACGGAUUUGAGGGAAACAGGGGUCUGGGAACGUGACUCCAACAGCGAUGAUGACGGCGUGGUUCGUACGGGUCGGGGUAGCGAUCAAAGGCGCUCACCGGAGAGGACAGAGAGAAUGAAGGCAGAGAUGAGUUCGAGGUUUUGUAGACGACGCUGAAUCUCUGCCGUGGAAAGGAGAAGAGGAAGGGAGGAAUUUUUUGCUAGAGUUGUUUCAUGUUGAGGUUCCAAUUUGAGAAGAAAGAUGGUAAAGAGUCGUUAAUCGAGGGAGAAAGGAGAUAGGCGGAGGAAGAGCUGAGCUCGUCGAGCUCAUCACCGAUGAAUUUGACGGAGGCAGAUAGGGGACGGAGAUGAGUUGCUGAGAGUAGGAGGCGGCGCUGCCGCUGGAAAAGAGGAAAAAAAGAUAUUUGGGGACUUCCAUUUCCAAAUGUGAUUUCACGUAAGUAAAGGAGAUGGAUUGGAGUGCUUUAAAUUAAUGGGUGACUCUAUGCAUGCGUUUCGAGAACAGAAUGGAAUACAAGUUACGGCAUUAAACAAACGAGGUUGAGCGGUGACGAGCGCGGUGGGUGU